ACACUCAUUUUACUCAGCAUUCCUGGAGGGCAAGAGGGCAAUUCCUAAGGGCCUGUCUAUGGCGGUACAGCUAAUGGGAAAACAGGAGAGGAGCCUGCCACUCUAGCAAAGAGAAUUUCCAGCUCUGCGUCUCCAGGGAGUAAGAAAAGAGAAAUGGAAAAUAGAAAACAAAGCUGGCUGCUUCAACAGUAACUCAGUGCUCUCCAUAACAGCAAUCCCAUGCGUGGUCUCCAGAGGUACAUCUCAGUUCCCUUUUCAAUACCCAAA
rnacentral:lncRNA from 1 species